rnacentral:tRNA from 1 species
GCCAACUUAGCUCAGCUGGUAGAGCAGCUGAUUUGUAAUCAGCAGGUCAUCAGUUCAAGUCUGAUAGUUGGCU